rnacentral:lncRNA from 1 species
AUGUGUCGUGGGUUUGAAAGGGGAUUUAGGGUUCUCACCUAAAUCCAUCAUCAACACAAGAAUUCUGCAUAAAUUGGGGUGAUUUGAGCUGGAAAUCGAGUGCAUGAGACAUCAUCUACACUUGUCUAGGAACGUGUCAAGGAGAGCUCAAGCAUAGGAGGAUAACGGGUCAAAAUAAGGCAAGGUGACAAAUACACUUAUUGGAGUACUCAAGGUAAGUGAUUUCCGGAAUCACUUCUUAUCUUAUAAAUAAAGUUUUGAUAUGUUAAACGUAGGAAAUCAUGUGAGAAAUUAUGAGAAGGAGUAAGUACUAAGGUAUGUAUUAAUGAGGUAAGUCGUAAGAAGUUAUUUGUGCUUGGAAUUACAUGAUAGAAGUGAACGGGUCAAUAAUAAAGAAAGAAACAUGGCGUAAUGUGGUAGUUAGUUUGAUCAUGUGGUUAUACGUUAGAAAGAUUUAGGAGUUUGUAUAUGAUUAUUUUACAUAUUGGAAGCGUUUAUGAAGUGCGAGUAAUAAUGGAAUGGGUUAGCGAGUAUGUGGAGGAAUGAAUUAAGUAUGUGGGUAUAUAUGUAUAGAAUUAAUUUCAUACCAAUAGCCGAGACUUAUAAUAAUCAUGAAUAGAAGUGAGUAUGCACGUAGGUUUGUAUGUACGUGACCUAUUUAUAUGGAAGUUGUAAUUUGGAUACAUUAGCAAAUCAUUUGGAAUGAUGUAAGUGGUAUGUAAGAGCUUGUACGUUUGUAUGUGUGUUCGUAAUCAUGUGUGGAAGUAUGUGUCCAUGAAUAUCUGUAUGUAUGUACAUGUGCACGAAGUAGAAUUUAUUGUACACGAAUGAAUGGGACUUUUUUUUAUAUGUUUAUAUAGCUUCAAUACUUUUGAGUGUAAAGUUUCUAAACGGGUGUCUUGAGUAUGAAAUGAGAAUGCAGGUAUACUAUUAAUGUCCUUAUGAAGGUUUAAGGAAUUGGAAUGCAAGAUCGUACACGGAAUGAGGAUUCGAAAAGAUUAGCAUGAGAUGAAGAAAUACGGAGUCGUUAUUUAUUUAGGUAUGUUUAGUUUAUGAACAACGCCACCAAAUUUUAACGAUGCGUAUGUAUGUGGUGAUUACAGUUCGCACGGACUUAACAUCAUUAUGAAGUAAAUGAGGAUUGAAGAUCGGGUCAAAGAGCGAGGAUUGUACGGGAAGGGUAGUCACAUAACUGGUGAUUUUCUAUUACAUUUGAUGCGAUAAUCAAGAAUGAACGUUGUAAAUCUUUUGAAGAAAGUGUUUGUUAUUUUUAAACGAACCUUCAAGUAAGUCAUAUGAGUAAUUAUGAAAGAAAUUUUAAGUCUCUACUUUCCGCUGUGUCUAUAUGGUUAAAUCGUGAUAUGGGUGUUUC